UACGAUAUAAGUUAUUGAAGGGUUUAUGCUAUGAUGAUGUUAUUGUGAUCAAUGAGAGAGAGAGAGAGAGAGUUAAAAUCAUUGCAACACAUGUGGACCAAUUUCAAAUGAUGUGGCAGAAAUCAUUUUGACUAGACAAUAGAAUACUUCACCAGGGUUAUGAUUGAGCAUACUUGAGCUCCACUGUCGUAACGUGCAAACUGCAAAGAAGCCUGAAAGAUGAGUUCCACCGCCCCUUCCGACCUCCGCUGUCACCAACUCAUUGCCGUUGUGCUGUCACCUUCAUUCACACUCUAAUUAUUAUUGUUGGCCCUACCACUUCCACUGCCGUCAAGGUCUUCCUAGUCGCCUUCUUCAUCGCAGCUCUGUCCUCGUCCGUUUCAGCGCAGGACGUUGCAAUGUCGCCGGCUCCAUCUCCCGCUGCAGGCGCCGCCUCCUCGCUACCGAUCCCCGUCAUCCUGGCUGGAUUCGCUUUCAUCCUCUCCGCCCUAACACAGUUAAGGAACUGAGAUCUGAUCCUCUUCGUUUCUUUUAUGUAUGUGCGAUUUCAGAGCAUGAAUUAUGAAUUUAUGAUUAUUUUGUAUUCUUUGUUCAUCAUCUAUAUAUCAAAGGCAAAUCUGAUUCUUCAA